rnacentral:rRNA from 1 species
GCGGCAGCGGGAAAGUAGCUUGCUACUUUUGCCGGCGAGCGGCGGACGGGUGAGUAAUGCCUGGGGAUCUGCCCAGUCGAGGGGGAUAACAGUUGGAAACGACUGCUAAUACCGCAUACGCCCUACGGGGGAAAGCAGGGGACCUUCGGGCCUUGCGCGAUUGGAUGAACCCAGGUGGGAUUAGCUAGUUGGUGAGGUAAUGGCUCACCAAGGCGACGAUCCCUAGCUGGUCUGAGAGGAUGAUCAGCCACACUGGAACUGAGACACGGUCCAGACUCCUACGGGAGGCAGCAGUGGGGAAUAUUGCACAAUGGGGGAAACCCUGAUGCAGCCAUGCCGCGUGUGUGAAGAAGGCCUUCGGGUUGUAAAGCACUUUCAGCGAGGAGGAAAGGUUGGUAGCGAAUAACUGCC